rnacentral:lncRNA from 1 species
GUCACACAUAUGUUCCUAAAUUUCCCAAGAUCAAUUUGGUCCAAUUUCCUUGACCAGUGUUGGGUUAUCCACCUCUUUCAAUCCAUUCAAACAAUUGCUCCUCUUUUUGUUAUGCUGGUGCAAUGAUGAUGAUCAUAUCACAUUUACCUUAAAUCGAACAACCAUAUUGUAACAGAUCAAACUUUUGAUCCACAUAGUAGUCUAUGGCAAAGUUGUUUGAAGUAGUCUCACUAUUUUCUUCUUCUAAAUUCCCCCUACAAGAGUACAUAGUAGGUGAUAAUGACACUUCAGUCCAAUUCCCUUACAAAAAUUUAGCUCAACUCCUCCUUUUGGCCUUUCCUCGAACAUCUUGUAAACACCGACGGAACUAGGGG